rnacentral:rRNA from 1 species
UGCGGUGACGAUGGCAUGAAGGCUACACCUGUUCCCAUUCCGAACACAGAAGUUAAGCUUCAUAGCGCCGAAGUAAAGAAAGUGAGGUGAACCUAAU